AAGUCGUAACAAGGUCUCCGUUGGUGAACCAGCGGAGGGAUCAUUACAGAGUCUACGCACUCCCAAACCUUUGUGAACAUACCUACGUUGCUUCGGCGGUCGUGCCUGGAGCGCCCCCGUGGCGUUCCCGGGUCCGCCGCCGAGGACCUAUAUUCUUGAAUUUAUAACGGAUUUCUGAGUAACAAAACAAAAUAAAUAAAAACUUUCAGCAACGGAUCUCUUGGCUCUGGCAUCGAUGAAGAACGCAGCGAAAUGCGAUAAGUAAUGUGAAUUGCAGAAUUCAGUGAACCAUCGAAUCUUUGAACGCACAUUGCGCCCACCAGUACUCUGGUGGGCAUGCCUGUCCGAGCGUCAUUUCAACCCUCAGGGCCCGUCCGCGGGACCUGGUGUUGGGGAUCGGCCCCUACCGGCCGGCCCCGAAAUACAGUGGCGGCACACCCGCGACCUCCUCUGCGUAGUAAUUACACCUCGCACCGGAUAGACACGAAGUCCACGCCGUAAAACAACCCAAUUUCUGAAUGUUGACCUCGGAUCAGGUAGGAAUACCCGCUGAACUUAA
rnacentral:rRNA from 1 species